CAGUAUAGCUCAGUUGGUAGAGCAGUCGGCUCAUACCCGAUAUGUCGAGGGUUCGAUUCCCCCUACUG
rnacentral:tRNA from 1 species